rnacentral:snoRNA from 1 species
GUGCAGACUUGAUCACUAGCUCUGCCUGAUGUGGCAGAAGCUAAGGGAACCAGGUUUGCUAAAGUAAUUUUGGCGAUAGGAAUGUAGUAGCCUCAGAAGCUACUGAGGCAGCCAAUUCCAUCCUAGUACAGCA